GACGAACGCUGGCGGCGUGCCUAAUACAUGCAAGUAGAACGCUGAAGGAGGAGCUUGCUUCUCUGGAUGAGUUGCGAACGGGUGAGUAACGCGUAGGUAACCUGCCUGGUAGCGGGGGAUAACUAUUGGAAACGAUAGCUAAUACCGCAUAAGAGUAGAUGUUGCAUGACAUUUGCUUAAAAGGUGCAAUUGCAUCACUACCAGAUGGACCUGCGUUGUAUUAGCUAGUUGGUGGGGUAACGGCUCACCAAGGCGACGAUACAUAGCCGACCUGAGAGGGGGGUCGGCCACACUGGGACUGAGACACGGCCCAGACUCCUACGGGAGGCAGCAGUAGGGAAUCUUCGGCAAUGGACGGAAGUCUGACCGAGCAACGCCGCGGGAGUGAAGAAGGUUUUCGGAUCGUAAAGCUCUGUUGUAAGAGAAGAACGAGUGUGAGAGUGGAAAGUUCACACUGUGACGGUAUCUUACCAGAAAGGGACGGCUAACUACGUG
rnacentral:rRNA from 1 species